rnacentral:rRNA from 1 species
UACGAGGGGGGCAAGCGUUGUUCGGAAUUAUUGGGCGUAAAGGGUGCGUAGGCGGUUUGGUAAGUCUUAUGUGAAAUCUACAGGCUCAACUUGUAGUCUGCAUGAGAAACUGCCGGGCUUGAGUAUGGGAGAGGUGAGUGGAAUUCCUGGUGUAGCGGUGAAAUGCGUAGAUAUCAGGAGGAACACCGAUGGCGAAGGCAGGUCUCUGGGCCACUACUGACGCUGAGAAGCGAAAGCGUGGGGAGCGAACAGG